rnacentral:piRNA from 1 species
UGGGAUCUACAGUUUCACCAAAUCUUU